GCUCCGAUAGUGUAGCUUGGCCCAUGAGGGCAUCAGUUCGAGCGAGAUGACCCGGGUUCAAAUCCCGGUCGGAGCA
rnacentral:tRNA from 1 species